UCAUUCUCUUUUGUUCUGACUGCGAACAAGUACGGACGCAUGGUAAUCAGCGAAAUAAAGAAAUUAGCACAAAAUCAGCGCAUUAAUGCGAAAAUACCGUAGAAAUCAUCAGAAAAAGAAGUGACAAAAGAGAUUUGAUAACGAAAAACCAGCUAAAAUAAGCUGGUUUUUUCAUACGGCCUUUUCGUGAGGUUUUUCAUACGGUCUUUUGGUGAGACUUUUGCCGUACGGCCCACAUCAACUGUUUUUUUUUCCGGUCAACAUAAGCUGUUUUGCCCAUACGGUCUUGCGUGGAUCUGACUAUCGCCCAAAUUACUGGAAAAUAUCGUGAAGUCGUAUUGGAGUCAACCGAACGGCCACCAAUCAUCACCGAGAAGCCACAUCGAUCCCCGUAUAGUCUAAGUGAGCGUUAGAAAAUAAGUGAAUACAUUAUCGAAUCGCAAAAACGUACAA